CCGAGGCGUUCAUGGGUUUAAAAAACAUUCAAUGAAUAAACCGUGUAGUUGGUGCAAUAGAAGUAAAAGAAACUGCCUACGUGUCAUCAGCAGGAUAAAGGCCUUAUCUUCUUAUUUUGGACUUUAUAUGGCGGUUGGCAACCAACAUUAGGUGCAUUACCUCAACCGACUGAAAGAAACUGAGGUCCACAUUCCAAUCACACACAUUUGAGAAGAAAAGGAUAAAUGUGGACAAGCAAUCAAUUACAGGUCAACAUCUAAAAAUAUUACACCCAGAGUGGAUCAAAACUCAGAAAGCUUAUAUUCUUGAUCGGACUGAGUUUUAAUCGUGUCUGCCUCUUUAGCUUAAUGAGUAGAGUCAUGAACAGUGGGUUGCUCACUUGCAUCCCUCGGAUUUGCCUUAGCAGCACAUUCACCAUUCUCCCAAACAGCUAACUCUGCUCUCUCGUGGCACAGGCCGAGUGCCUGAGACAUGAAACAAACUAACCCAGCUCGGGAUGGCUCAAUUGGGCAACUAGAGACGCUGCUGACAGUCUGUUGGCGAGAUGCCAGACAAAAGGCAAUUUUAAAACCGCCCCAAGACUCCUGCAGUGUCUACAGCAGUGGCGAUUUCAGCACUGCUGUAGAGUUGUGGGCUGCAUGCCAGCAAAGCCACAACACUAAACAAUACAUUAAUUGCACUAUAACGGUGAUGAGCGGUGCCCACAAACUGCCUACAUAAAGCUGUCCCAACAUCUUAACACUGCUACACCUGGCUAGCAGCAGAGCCUUGUCUGGCAGCGAAACAGUUCAUUCAGCCUCAUUUACUACCUUAAUUUGUUUUUAUUAGGUAACAGCUGAUAUGGCUGACUUGCUUAAACAAAUGUGGUUUCUAAUGGCAAUUGAGAUGUACAAACUAUUGCAUGAGGGGACAGCAAGCGGAUAAGAGGCAAUCCGUAAUUUCGAUUAAGACAUGAAUGAGCGAGCUAGGAUGGAUGUCGUCAACUAUUUUAGACCUUUUGAAAUGUACACCAAAAUAAUGGGCCGUUCUUACUGUGUUCUGCCUGUACCCCCAAGGAUGAGUAAAGGGUGGCGUUUAAGCAUACAAUGAAAGCUCAUGGAUUACAUUUCCCUAAAACGGUAUAGGCUACAUGUUAUAGGCACAUGGGCUACUAACGUCUUACUGCACAACACAGACUGAGUAUUACUUUCUUAGCUUCAGUAUACAUAUAUCCCUGGCAGAUUAUAUCAUUUAUAAAGCAGCAUACAAGACAUUUUUGGGCUCACCUUGUUGUACUCUCUUGAACAUGAUCAGUCCAAUCAAAGCUACUGUAGACAUAAAAUGACGUCAAAUCACGUUCUGUGGCCAAUAACCUUGAGCCUUCUUUGAUGGGCACUUCUAAUGUAACUCUAAGGCAGCACCCAAGGGGCUAGAAUGUUCUAGCUCUUCCCUUGGAUUUGGCAGUGACGUAGUGUCCCCAUGAGUGACAGAACACUGAGCCAAUCAUGGCGCAGCUCUCUAUUUUCUGCUGGCUGGCCCAAACCACCACAAAAAGCACUGAGCCAGGCUGAAACACCUGCAUUUUAGAGCUGCCUUACAAACGUGUUCUCUUUUUCUUGAGUAUGGCUUUAUUAACUUAAUUA